rnacentral:rRNA from 1 species
ACCCGCACAAGCGGUGGAUGAUGUGGUUUAAUUCGAUGCAACGCGAAGAACCUUUACCAAGGCUUGACAUGCCAGAAGUAGGAACUUGAAAGAGAGACCACCUGUAUUCAGUCAGGAACUGGCACAGGUGCUGCAUGGCUGUCGUCAGCUCGUGCCGUGAGGUGUUAGGUUAAGUCCUGCAACGAGCGCAACCCUCGUCGCUAGUUAAAUUUUCCUAGCGAUACUGCCCGUAAAACGAGGAGGAAGGUGGGGAUGACGUCAAGUCAGCAUGGCCCUUACGCCUUGGGCUACACACACGCUACAAUGGGUGAUACAACAGAUUGCGAAAGAGCGAUCUGGAGCUAAUCCCUAAAAUCAUCCUCAGUUCGGAUUGCAGGCUGAAACUGCCUGCAUGAAGUUGGAGUUGCUAGUAACCGCAGGUCAGCACACUGCGGUGAAUACGUUCUCGGGCCUU